CCUACGGGAGGCUGCAGUGGGGAAUAUUGCACAAUGGGGGAAACCCUGAUGAAGCGACGCCGCGUGAGUGAAGAAGUAAUUCGUUAUGUAAAGCUCUAUCAGCAGGGAAGAAAAUGACGGUAACUGAGUAAGAAGCACCGGCUAACUACGUGCCAGCAGCCGCGGUACUACGUAGGGGGCAAGCGUUAUCCGGAUUUGCUGGGUGUAAAGGGAGCGUAGACGGCAGUGCAAGUCUUGAGUGAAAGGCGGAGGCUCAACCCCCGGACUGCUCUGGAAACUGUACGGAUGGAGUGCAGGAGAGGUAAGUGGAAUGCCUAGGGUAGCGGUGAAAUGCGUAGAUAUUAGGAGGAACACCAG
rnacentral:rRNA from 1 species